CCUACGGGUGGCAGCAGUGGGGAAUAUUGGACAAUGGGCGAAAGCCUGAUCCAGCCAUGCCGCGUGUGUGAAGAAGGCCUUCGGGUUGUAAAGCACUUUCAGUGGGGAAGAAAGCCUUGGGGCUAAUACCCUCGAGGAAGGACAUCACCCACAGAAGAAGCACCGGCUAACUCCGUGCCAGCAGCCGCGGUAAUACGGAGGGUGCGAGCGUUAAUCGGAAUUACUGGGCGUAAAGCGCGCGUAGGCGGUCUGAUAAGCCGGUUGUGAAAGCCCCGGGCUCAACCUGGGAACGGCAUCCGGAACUGUCAGGCUAGAGGGCAGGAGAGGAAGGGAGAAUUCCCGGUGUAGCGGUGAAAUGCGUAGAGAUCGGGAGGAAUACCAGUGGCGAAGGCGGCCUUCUGGACUGACACUGACGCUGAGGUGCGAAAGCGUGGGUAGCAAACAGGAUUAGAUACCCCGGUAGUC
rnacentral:rRNA from 1 species